rnacentral:tRNA from 1 species
GGCUGUGGCUCAGUGGUACAGCGCUUGCCUAGCAUGUGUGAGGCACUGGGUUUGAUUCUCAGCACCA